AGCGAACGUUUGCGGCGGGCUUAACACAUGCAAGUCGAACGAGAAUCCCUUCGGGGAGGAAAGUGGCGCACGGGUGCGUAACACGUGGAUAACCAACCCAUUGGUUUGGGACAACACCGGGAAACUGGUGCUAAUACCAGAUGUGUCGCAGCUGUCUUCAGGCGGUUGCGAGAAAGGCCCGCAAGGGUCGCCAACGGACGGGUCCGCGUCCCAUCAGCUAGUUGGUGAGGUAAUGGCUCACCAAGGCAAAGACGGGUAGCUGGUCUGAGAGGAUGAUCAGCCACACUGGAACUGAGACACGGUCCAGACUCCUACGGGAGGCAGCAGUGGGGAAUAUUGCGCAAUGGGCGAAAGCCUGACGCAGCCACGCCGCGUGAGCGAUGAAGGUCUUCGGAUCGUAAAGCUCUGUGGGGGGAGAAGAAGAAAGCCGGUGAAGAGCCGGCCCUGACGGUAUCCCCUUAGCAAGCACCGGCUAACUCCGUGCCAGCAGCCGCGGUAAAGUAGUCG
rnacentral:rRNA from 1 species